rnacentral:rRNA from 1 species
UUCUAUGGAUUUCUACUUGGACAUCAAUCCCAUCUGAUCUCGGAAGCUAAGCAGGGUUGGGCCUGGUUAGUACUUGGAUGGGAGACCACCUAGGAAGACCAGGGGCUGUAGGUG